UACAUGGAUAACUGUGGUAAUUCUACAGCUAAUACACGCUGGAGGGGUGCGUUUGUUACUUCAAAUCAAUUCAAGUGACUUUAGACAAUUAACGGUCUAAGUACCGACGUCAUAUCCUUCAAACGUCUGCCUUAUCAACUUUCGACGGUAGGCUAUAAGCCUACGGUGGUUAUAACGGGUAACGGAGAAUCAGGGUUUGAUUCCGGAGAGGGAGCCUGAGAAAUGGCUACCACAUCCAAGGAAGGCAGCAGGCACGCAAAUUACCCACUCCCGGCGGGGAGGUAGUGACGAAAAAUAACGAGCAGGUCUUUUUAUGCAUUGUAAUGGGAACAAGCUAAAUCUUUUAUCGAGGAUCUAUUGGAGGGCAAGUCUGGUGCCAGCAGCCGCGGUAAUUCCAGCUCCAAUAGCGUAUAUUAAAGUUGUUGCGGUUAAAAAGCUCGUAGUUGGAUCUACAAGUCCUGUGGUCUUUCUCUGGAAUGAUCUAGUAUUCUAUUGAUGCUCUUCAUUGAGUGUCUUAGUUGCUGGAACUUUUACCUUGAAAAAAUUGAAGUGCUCAAAGCAGGCUUCUACCUGAACAUUGCUGCAUGGGAUAAUAGAAUAGGAGGUUCUAUUUUGUUGGUUUCGGAAUACGAAGUAAUGAUUAAUAGGGACAGACGGGGGCAUUCGUAUUGCUACGUUAGAGGUGAAAUUCUUGGA
rnacentral:rRNA from 1 species